rnacentral:misc_RNA from 1 species
GAUGAAGAACGUAGCGAAAUGCGAUAAGUAGUGUGAAUUGCAGAAUUCAGUGAAUCAUCGAAUCUUUGAACGCACAUUGCGCCCCUUGGUAUUCCAUGGGGCAUGCCUGUUCGAGCGUCAUUUGUACCUUCAAGCUUUGCUUGGUGUUGGGUGUUUGUCUCGCCUCUGCGUGUAGACUCGCCUUAAAACAAUUGGCAGCCGGCGUAUUGAUUUCGGAGCGCAGUACAUCUCGCGCUUUGCACUCAUAACGACGACGUCCAAAAGUACAUUUUUACACUCUUGACCUCGGAUCAGGUAGGGAUACCCGCAGAACUUAAGCAUAUCAAUAAGCGGAGGA